rnacentral:rRNA from 1 species
GACGAACGCUGGCGGCGUGCCUAAUACAUGCAAGUAGGACGCAGUUGCGAACGGGUGAGUAACGCGUAGGUAACUACCUAUUAGAGGGGGAUAACUAUUGGAAACGAUAGCUAAUACCGCAUACUAGUAGAUGGACCUGCGUUGUAUUAGCUAGUAGGUAGGGUAAUGGCCUACCUAGGCAACGAUACAUAGCCGAACUGGGAAGGGGAUGGGGCCAACUGGGACUGGGAAACGGCCCAGAAUCCUAAGGGAGGCAGCAGUAGGGAAUAUUCGGUAAUGGGGGGAACCCUGAACGAGCAAAGGCGGGUGAGUGAAGAAAGGUUUCGGAUCGUAAAGCUCUGUUGUUAAGGAAGCGGUACUUAACCAGAAAGGGACGGCUAACUACGUGCCAGCAGCCGCGGUAAUAC